rnacentral:rRNA from 1 species
GACGAACGCUGGCGGCGUGCUUAACACAUGCAAGUCGAACGGAAAGGCCCUGCUUUUGUGGGGUGCUCGAGUGGCGAACGGGUGAGUAACACGUGAGUAACCUGCCCUUGACUUUGGGAUAACUUCAGGAAACUGGGGCUAAUACCGGAUAGGAGCUCCUGCUGCAUGGUGGGGGUUGGAAAGUUUCGGCGGUUGGGGAUGGACUCGCGGCUUAUCAGCGUGUUGGUGGGGUGGUGGCUUACCAAGGCUUUGACGGGUAGCCGGCCUGGGAGGGUGACCGGCCACAUUGGGACUGAGAUACGGCCCAGACUCCUACGGGAGGCAGCAGUGGGGAAUAUUGCACAAUGGGCGGGAGCCUGAUGCAGCAACGCCGCGUGCGGGAUGACGGCCUUCGGGUUGUAAACCGCUUUCGCCUGUGACGAAGCGUGAGUGACGGUAAUGGGUAAAGAAGCACCGGCUAACUACGUG